UACGUAGGGGGCGAGCGUUGUCCGGAGUUAUUGGGCGUAAAGCGCACGCAGGCGGUCUGCUAAGUUUGGAGUGACAGUUGGUGGCUUAACUGCCAAAGUGCUUCGAAAACUGACAGACUUGAGGGCUUCAGAGGGACACGGAAUUCCGGGUGGAGUGGUGAAAUGCGUAGAGAUCCGGAGGAACACCAAAGGCGAAGGCAGUGUCCUGGGGAGUACCUGACGCUCAGGUGCGAAAGCCAGGGGAGCGAACGGG
rnacentral:rRNA from 1 species